CAAUAGCGUAUAUUAAAGUUGUUGCAGUUAAAAAGCUCGUAGUUGAACUUCAGACCUGGCUGGGCGGUCCGCCUAACGGUGUGUACUGUCUGGCUGGGUCUUACCUCUUGGUGAGCCGGUAUGCCCUUCACUGGGUGUAUCGGGGAACCAGGACUUUUACCUUGAGAAAAUUAGAGUGUUCAAAGCAGGCCUGCGCCUGAAUACGUUAGCAUGGAAUAAUAAAAUAGGACGUGCGGUUCUAUUUUGUUGGUUUCUAGAGUCGCCGUAAUGAUUAAUAGGGAUAGUUGGGGGCAUUAGUAUUCCGUUGCUAGAGGUGAAAUUCUUGGAUUUACGGAAGACUAACUACUGCGAAAGCAUUUGCCAAGGAUGUUUUCAUUAA
rnacentral:rRNA from 1 species